CUGACUUUGAAUUCAAAUAUUUACAGGGGCCCAAGAAGGAUGCCACAGGGUUAAAUCAAAGCGCAAACCAAUCCGCCGCUUGCUGGGACUGGCACCAAGGUGUGACGUGCUGCCUGAAGGCAGACAGAUGUGCGUGAAAAACCGAGGAGGACUGGACGCAGCCACAGUACUGGCUCCAAGUACCUGGGGUCUGGGAGGUACCUAGCUCAUCGAUUCAAAGAUGGAGACAGAUUCCGAGCUGGAUC
rnacentral:lncRNA from 1 species